rnacentral:sRNA from 2 species
CGAUCGCCCGCGCCGAAGUCGCCACAGGCGACACGGGGGACCAAAUACUGGGGUGAAUCCCCGACAGCGUCGGGGUAGGGUUAGCCUUUCAACCCGAAUCCGUCAACUAACCUCGGAGGCGCACGAAAGGCCUU